rnacentral:rRNA from 1 species
UACGUAGGGUGCGAGCGUUGUCCGGAAUUAUUGGGCGUAAAGAGCUCGUAGGCGGCUUGUCACGUCGGUUGUGAAAGCCCGGGGCUUAACCCCGGGUCUGCAGUCGAUACGGGCAGGCUAGAGUUCGGUAGGGGAGAUCGGAAUUCCUGGUGUAGCGGUGAAAUGCGCAGAUAUCAGGAGGAACACCAGUGGCGAAGGCGCCGCUCUGGGCCGUGACUGACGCUGAGGAGCGAAAGCGUGGGUAGCAAACAGG